GAGGUAUUCCAGGACCGGCAGUCCUGUUCCAUGAGCUCCAGCUGACCUUGCUUGAGCAGGGAGGUUGGACCAAACGAGCCACUGUGGUCCCUCCCACCCUUACCCAUCCUGUGAUCUGGGCGAGGAAGUGCUGUUGAUUACUACUGGUUUCCAUUCACCACGGAAUUCUCCAGUGAGGAGCAGCUGCUGCUGUGUCAUAAAUGAGACAGUCUUUGCUGUGAAAGGAUUGUGGUACAAUGCAGCUAAAGAAUGGAAUAAAGUUAAGACCGUUUUCUCUUUUCCUUCCUCUUGCCAGUACGACCUUAGAAAGCACACACCACGAGUCGUUUCUGGAUUAGAGGUCCUCAUGCCAUGGAGUUCAGGAGCUUCCCCAGCUGUCCUUUGCUACAUGCACAGCGUGGCUUUGUGCUGGGCUACGAGGACAGUCUGUACAGUCACAGUCACGGCUCAGGACUGAGUGCUACCACAUUAUGGCCACGAGGAGAAGUGACUAGAUUUGGGUUUUUUCCCCUCUCCUCCCAAAGAUCUUCCAAGACACCCUGCCUUUAUUUAUAUGGAUAUACUGGGAUAAAGUCUUCCAGCAGCCUCCACUGCGAGACUGAGGAGCUGUUAUAUAAAUGAAUUGCAGCUGUUUGAACUAUCAAACCCUCUUGUUGUUAAACUAUUUGGUUAAUUCAGAGAUCCUCUGUUCUGAAGAUGGUGUUUUCCAUUCCUAUUCCUACAGUCAUCUAAGUUAUUUAGGACAUAUUUUUAAUUAUUCAAAACACAUUUCUUAGUUUUUUCAGUUCUCAUAUGAAGCAGCUGGCUUCAGUUAGCUGAACAUUAUUGUUAAGCCUCACUUUAAAGUACUUCAAAAUUCUUGUAUAAAUUGCCUUACACUCUUAAUUAAGGGGAAGGAUGUGGGUGUUACAUAAAAAAAAAACCCUGCUCCCUAUACCAUGUCGCAGUACUAAACCAGAAUCCCCCAAAUGCAUCCUGCUUGGGGCUAUCAGGCUGAAUGGAGCUGACAUUAACAAUUAGACAUUCUCAGAAAUCACUAAUUUGGUUAAGAGACCACCUGGGAAUCCCAUCUUACCCUCCAAGCCAAGGCUAGGAAUGUGUCAAAAUACUAGACCACUGAAGUGGAGACACAAGCUCCCUCUGGACUUCUUGCCACUGCAGAUACAAACUACAAGGAAAAGAGGAGACACUUGCCUAAAAUCUAAAUGGUAAGUCUUAGUAAAAUGUACAAAUGUGUCUUUAA